rnacentral:rRNA from 1 species
UCAGUCGUGAGGCUGACGGAA